UUCUUUUUUUUUCAUUUUCUUUUUGGUACGAAAAGGAUUCCAAUGAAGCCAUCACCGUUGCGUCGGAAGUCCUAGCCUUGAGACCGGAUUCCUUUGAGGCUCUUUAUGUCCGAGCCAAGGCAAGGCGUGUCGUUGGACAAACUGAACAGGCGUUGUCGGAUUUAAAUGAGGCCAUGAAAGUAGCCCCACCUGGUAGGGAUGUGCGAAAGGUUUUACUGAAAGCCAUCGAAGAGACCGAAAGUGCCCAACGGCUCCCUGGAACUUCCACCCUAGACUUAAUGGAAACAUCUUCUGACACCAUCCAAGACUGCUGCAGCAGCGGAGUUGGUUCCAGUUCGACCUCCACUUCCGAACGAGGUUAACCCCCUUUGCUGGGCACCACUGUUCGUUUGACCGUGCCUCUAGUGAAAUAAUUGUUAAGAUAUUUAGUUGAAUGUAAUUUUCGUCUUUUAACUUACCGUAAGUUUUGCAAUUGGCGUGUUUCGUUCUUCGAGAUAAUUUGUUUUUUUUUUCAUCCGCUUUGGCGUCGGAUCAAAUUCUCAGUAGACGUCUCAUAACUGAAAUUCAAUUCAUUUCUAUCAAGUUUAGAACCAGCUCUUGAUGAUUAACUUAUUGGCGAUUCAAUCAAAUAAUGACAUUUGUAAAAGGUAUCUUCUAUUAAAAAAGCGUGACGGUUUAUAGAAACAAAAUGUUUUCACUAAGUGACAUGUAAAAGAAAUAAAUGAAAUUAUAGAACUGA